CACGUAGGGCGCAAGCGUUGUCCGGAAUUAUUGGGCGUAAAGAGCUCGUAGGCGGUCUGUCGCGUCUGCUGUGAAAACUCGGGGCUUAACCCCGGGCCUGCAGUGGGUACGGGCAGACUAGAGUGCGGUAGGGGAGACUGGAAUUCCUGGUGUAGCGGUGAAAUGCGCAGAUAUCAGGAGGAACACCGGUGGUGAAGGCGGGUCUCUGGGCCGUAACUGACGCUGAGGAGCGAAAGCGUGGGGAGCGAACAGG
rnacentral:rRNA from 1 species